AGUUUGACUGGGGCGGUCUCCUCCCAAAGCGUAACGGAGGAGCACGAAGGUUAGCUAAUCCUGGUCGGACAUCAGGAGGUUAGUGCAAUGGCAUAAGCUAGCUUGACUGCGAGCGUGACGGCGCGAGCAGGUGCGAAAGCAGGUCAUAGUGAUCCGGUGGUUCUGAAUGGAAGGGCCAUCGCUCAACGGAUAAAAGGUACUCCGGGGAUAACAGGCUGAUACCGCCCAAGAGUUCAUAUCGACGGCGGUGUUUGGCACCUCGAUGUCGGCUCAUCACAUCCUGGGGCUGAAGUAGGUCCCAAGGGUAUGGCUGUUCGCCAUUUAAAGUGGUACGCGAGCUGGGUUUAGAACGUCGUGAGACAGUUCGGUCCCUAUCUGCCGUGGGCGCUGGAGAAUUGAGGGGGGCUGCUCCUAGUACGAGAGGACCGGAGUGGACGCAUCACUGGUGUUCGGGUUGUCAUGCCAAUGGCACU
rnacentral:rRNA from 1 species